rnacentral:rRNA from 1 species
CAAGUCGAACGCGAAAGUUCCGCAAGGGACAAGUAGAGUGGCAAACGGGUGAGUAACGCGUGGGUGACCUGCCUUCGAGCGGGGGAUAACGUUCCGAAAGGGACGCUAAUACCGCAUAACAUCCUGCCUUUGAAGAGGUGGAGAUCAAAGCUGGGGAUCGCAAGACCUAGCACUCGAAGAGGGGCCCGCGUCCGAUUAGCUAGUUGGUGGGGUAAUGGCUCACCAAGGCAACGAUCGGUAGCCGGCCUGAGAGGGCGGACGGCCACACUGGGACUGAGACACGGCCCAGACUCCUACGGGAGGCAGCAGUGGGGAAUUGUUCGCAAUGGGCGCAAGCCUGACGACGCAACGCCGCGUGGAGGAUGAAGAUCUUCGGGUCGUAAACUCCUGUCGAAUGGGACGAACGAACUGCGGGUGAACAAUCCGCAGUAGUGACGGUACCGUUAAAGGAAACCCCGGCUAACUCCGUGCCAGCAGCCGCGGUAAUACGGGGGGGGUAAGCGUUGUUCGGAAUUACUGGGCGUAAAGGGCUCGUAGGCGGCCAACUAAGUCAGACGUGAAAUCCCUCAGCUUAACUGGGGAACUGCGUCUGAUACUGGAUGGCUUGGAUUCGGGAGAGGAAUGCGGAAUUCCAGGUGUAGCGGUGAAAUGCGUAGAUAUCUGGAGGAACACCGGUGGCGAAGGCGGCAUUCUGGACCGACAUUGACGCUGAGGAGCGAAAGCCAGGGGAGCAAACGGGAUUAGAUACCCCGGUAGUCCUGGCCCUAAACGAUGAAUGCUUGGUGUGGCGGGUAUCGAUCCCUGCCGUGCCGAAGCUAACGCAUUAAGCAUUCCGCCUGGGGAGUACGGUCGCAAGGCUGAAACUC